AGUGUAUAUCAAUCAUGAGGCCAUUUAAUGUAUUCUGAUAGCCACUGGUUUUAUUUCAGUAGGAAGCACUUCAAAAAAGAUAGAGCCUGGGAACCACACAAUGGUAACAGAGUUCAUUAUUUUGGGGCUAACUGAGGUCCCCACCCUUUGUUGUAUCUUCUUUGUGUUGUUCCUGGGUGUCUACAUCACCACCAUAUUGGGCAAUGUCAGCAUAAUCAUGUUGAUCAGAAGAAGCCCUCAGCUUCACACCCCAAUGUACCUUUUCCUCAGCCACUUGGCCUUUGUGGACAUUGGGUACUCCAGCUCAGUCACACCUGUCAUGAUUGUGAGUUUGCUGAGAGAGAGAACUGCCAUCCCUGUGGCUGGUUGCAUAGUCCAGCUUGGCUCUGAUGUGGUCUUUGGGACUGCUGAGUUCUUCCUGCUGGCUGCCAUGGACUAUGAUCGCUAUGUGGCCAUCUGCUCACCCCUGCUCUACUCCACUCUCAUGUCUCCCAAGGUCUGCCUCAUCUUAUUGGUUAUUUCCUACAUGGGUGGAUGUGUGAAUUCUUCAUCAUGUACCAGUUGUUUAUUGAGCCUGACUUUUUGUGGACCAAAUAAAGUCAACCAUUUCUUCUGUGAUCUCCCACCACUGGUGGAGCUUUCCUGUACCCAUGUUUAUGUUGCUGAAAUGUCUCCUGCCAUCUCAGCAGGCUCCAUCAUCGUCAUCACCCUGUUCGUAAUCAUUAUUUCAUAUGUCUACAUCCUUCACUCCAUCCUCAGGAUGCACUCUACUGAGGGCAGGCACAAAGCCUUCUCCACCUGUACCUCCCACCUCACUGCAGUCACCUUGUUUUAUGGGACAGUUACAUUUGUUUAUGUCAUACCAAAGUCAAGCCACUCGCCCAACCAAAUUAAAGUGGUGUCUGUGUUCUACACAGUGGUGAUCCCCAUGCUGAAUCCCUUGAUCUACAGUCUGAGGUACAAGGAGGUAAAAGAGGCCAUGAGGAAAUUGAUGGCGAAAACACAUUCCUCAUUUUGUUUUUUUUUUUUUUUUUUUUUUUUUUUUUUUUUUUUUUUUUUCCAUUUUUUAUUAGGUAUUUAGCUCAUUUACAUUUCCAAUGCUAUACCAAAAGUCCCCCUUACCCACC